rnacentral:tRNA from 1 species
GCGGGCGUGGCGAAAUUGGUAUACGCACUUGCCUUAGGAGCAAGCGGAGCAAUCUGUGAGAGUUCGAGUCUCUCCGCCCGCA